UACGUAGGGGGCGAGCGUUGUCCGGAGUUACUGGGCGUAAAGCGCACGCAGGCGGUCUGCUAAGUUUGGAGUGACAGUUGGUGGCUUAACUGCCAAAGUGCUUCGAAAACUGACAGACUUGAGGGCUUCAGAGGGACACGGAAUUCCGGGUGGAGUGGUGAAAUGCGUAGAUAUCGCCUGGAACGCCGAUGGUGAAAACAGUCUGCUGGGGGUGUGCCGACGCUGAGACACGAAAGCCAGGGGAGCGAACGGG
rnacentral:rRNA from 1 species